UGGGGAAUAUUGGACAAUGGGCGAAAGCCUGAUCCAGCCAUGCCGCGUGUGUGAAGAAGGUCUUCGGAUUGUAAAGCACUUUAAGUUGGGAGGAAGGGCAGUAAGCGAAUACCUUGCUGUUUUGACGUUACCGACAGAAUAAGCACCGGCUAACUCUGUGCCAGCAGCCGCGGUAAUACAGAGGGUGCAAGCGUUAAUCGGAAUUACUGGGCGUAAAGCGCGCGUAGGUGGUUCGUUAAGUUGAAUGGGAAAGCCCCGGGCUCAACCUGGGAACUGCAUCCAAAACUGGCGAGCUAGAGUAGGGCAGAGGGUGGUGGAAUUUCCUGUGUAGCGGUGAAAUGCGUAGAUAUAGGAAGGAACACGAGUGGCGAAGGCGACCACCUGGGCUCAUACUGACACUGAGGUGCGAAAGCGUGGGGAGCAAACAGG
rnacentral:rRNA from 1 species